rnacentral:misc_RNA from 1 species
UACGUAGGGUCCGAGCGUUGUCCGGAAUUAUUGGGCGUAAAGGGCUCGUAGGCGGUUUGUCGCGUCGGAAGUGAAAACACACAGCUUAACUGUGUGCUUGCUUACGAUACGGGCAGACUAGAGGUAUUCAGGGGAGAAUGGAAUUCCUGGUGUAGCGGUGAAAUGCGCAGAUAUCAGGAGGAACACCGGUGGCGAAGGCGGUUCUCUGGGAAUUACCUGACGCUGAGGAGCGAAAGUGUGGGGAGCGAACAGG